rnacentral:rRNA from 1 species
CCUAUUCAUGCAAGUCGAGCGAACAGACGAGGAGCUUGCUCCUCUGACGUUAGCGGCGGACGGGUGAGUAACACGUGGAUAACCUACCUAUAAGACUGGGAUAACUUCGGGAAACCGGAGCUAAUACCGGAUAAUAUAUUGAACCGCAUGGUUCAAUAGUGAAAGACGGUUUUGCUGUCACUUAUAGAUGGAUCCGCGCCGCAUUAGCUAGUUGGUAAGGUAACGGCUUACCAAGGCAACGAUGCGUAGCCGACCUGAGAGGGUGAUCGGCCACACUGGAACUGAGACACGGUCCAGACUCCUACGGGAGGCAGCAGUAGGGAAUCUUCCGCAAUGGGCGAAAGCCUGACGGAGCAACGCCGCGUGAGUGAUGAAGGUCUUCGGAUCGUAAAACUCUGUUAUUAGGGAAGAACAAAUGUGUAAGUAACUAUGCACGUCUUGACGGUACCUAAUCAGAAAGCCACGGCUAACUACGUGCCAGCAGCCGCGGUAAUACGUAGGUGGCAAGCGUUAUCCGGAAUUAUUGGGCGUAAAGCGCGCGUAGGCGGUUUUUUAAGUCUGAUGUGAAAGCCCACGGCUCAACCGUGGAGGGUCAUUGGAAACUGGAAAACUUGAGUGCAUAAGAGGAAAGUGGAAUUCCAUGUGUAGCGGUGAAAUGCCCAUAGAUAUGGAGGA